rnacentral:lncRNA from 1 species
GAUUAUUCAUUUUCCUUUGGGUUUCAGGGGGGUUUUCGGGUGUCAGUGAAGCAUCCCCAGGCCGGUCCCACAGCAAGGUCACCGCCGACACGGAGCGGGUAGCGGUGACAACCAGCAUUCACACAAAGCACAACCCGGCAUGCUGAUGAGCGCAGACGGCCCCUCGCCUUACCAGCUGCAGGCAGCAGAAUCCGACCAGCGUACAUCUCCCAUUGCAUCUCCCCAUGGUUUCCCAGCCGGAGCCUCGGAUUUUCCCCCACCGUGGCCUCGCGUCGCCGUCCUCCAGCUCCUCACCAGCCUCCCCUUUGCCAGCAGAGCCGACACCCGGCGAGCAUCAGCGGGGUACCAGCAACAUGUCCCGCUCUCCAGCCUCCGGCCAGCCCCGGUACUUUCUUCACAGCAGCCCCGCCAUCUCCCGCAUCCUGCCAGCACACCUUCAGGGGGAUCGGAGCGUGCACAUCUUCCAAGGAACAACUGGGAUGCUGCUUUUCCAGCGCUUUAGAAACCUCCUGCUGAAAUGCCACCAGCAGAAGGACUCAGGAACACUUUGCCGCUUUCCCCUUCCAUGAUUUCUUAAACUGAGGAUUAAGAAACCAGGAUUAAUCCUGGGUUUUAUAAGGAAGCAUCUCCUAAACCAGCCCCUCACACUGUCAGGUGUCAGAGCAGCUCUGCACCGGAUCCAGGGGGCUGCAAAUCUAACAGAUAGAUUAAUGUGCAAGUGUCGCCUUGGCCAUGGUCUAACCAAGGGCCCAUCCCAUGCGCUGCCGGGACCAGCCUUUUCCUUCAUCCUCCAUAGUGGGAAUUCCUCUCCCUCCCUGUGCUUGGCUUCCAUGAAUCCAAAAUCCAUGCAGGGGGGUCACCAAGCGAUGCUCUGAAGCAAGGGGCCUGGGAGGGGUGGUUGAACCCAGGCUGGACCAGUCACUGUUUGAAACACGGGGACCUCUGCAUUUAUUCUACCCUAUCUCCAGCAUCUCCAGGUCCUCACCAAGAGCCUGAGAUCCCAUCACCCUCAUCCCAUGGGGAGAAGUGUCCUGUGCUCCUGCGGGUUAUCUGGAUGCAUAAGGGGGGCACCGGACCCACGUCCAGCAUCAAGCUUGUGGGUUCCUUUGGGAUUUAAGGACAGCAGAAACCCAAAGCACAGGGACUGGUUUCACCCCAUGGGUCAAAACAAGGCCCAAGCACCCCACAGCAUCUCCUUGGCAACGGCGGGGCAGAUCUGCUCAGCUGAGCCUGCCUGGCCAGCUCCUAAAAAUGCCAGGAAAAGGCAAAAUGCCCUAUUGUAAAACCACAAAACCCAAUCCAAUGGCUCUCUCCUUCAUGAGGAAUCAAUUGCACAUUAAAAAAGGUC